UACCAGCACCCCGAGUGGUCGGGACGAUUAUUGGGCCUAAAGCAUCCGUAGCCGGCCUUACAAGUCCUCCGUUAAAUCCAGCUGCUUAACAGAUGGGCUGCGGAGGAUACUAUAAGACUAGGAGGCAGGAGAGGCAAGCGGUACUCAGUGGGUAGGGGGUAAAAUCCGUUGAUCCAUUGAAGACCACCAGUGGCGAAGGCGGCUCACUGGCCCGGUACUGACGCUGGAGGUGCGAAAGCGUGGGGAGCAAACAGG
rnacentral:rRNA from 1 species